UACGAAGGGGGCUAGCGUUGUUCGGAAUUACUGGGCGUAAAGGGUUCGUAGGUGGCUUGCUAAGUCAGACGUGAAAUCCCUCAGCUUAACUGGGGAACUGCGUCUGAGACUGGCGAGCUUGAGGGCAGGAGAGGAACGCGGAAUUCCAGGUGUAGCGGUGAAAUGCGUAGAUAUCUGGAGGAACACCGGUGGCGAAGGCGGCGUUCUGGACUGCAUCUGACACUGAGGAACGAAAGCCAGGGGAGCAAACGGG
rnacentral:rRNA from 1 species